UACGUAGGUGGCAAGCGUUAUCCGGAUUCACUGGGCGUAAAGCGCGUGCAGGCGGUUUCGUAAGUCGGACGUGAAAGCUCCUGGCUUAACUGGGAGAGGUCGUUCGAUACUGCGGGGCUUGAGGUCGGGAGAGGGACGUGGAAUUCCCGGUGUAGUGGUGGAAUGCGUAGAUAUCGGGAGGAACACCAGUGGCGAAGGCGACGUCCUGGCCCGCACCUGACGCUGAGACGCGAAAGCGUGGGUAGCGAACGGGAUUAGAUACCCCGGUAGUCCACGCUGUAAAUGGUGGGUACUAGGUGUUGGUGGCUAUCGUCAUCAGUGCCGUAGCUAACGCGUUAAGUACCCCGCCUGGGGACUACGGCCGCAAGGCUAAA
rnacentral:rRNA from 1 species